rnacentral:tRNA from 1 species
GAGGGUAUAGCUCAGUGGAAGAGUGUGUGCCUAGCGUGCACAAGGUCCUGGGUUCAAUCCUCAGUACUUCCA